AGGGAAAAAUCUUACAGUUGGAUUCUGCCGGGCAAGUCACAGAAAAAUCCCAAGACCAGAAAGGGAACUCUAAAAUGGAAGAGGGAACUUAUACAAUAGAAUAACUUGAGAAGAAAGGUGGAUGGCAUCCUAUCUUGGACCUCAGAAAACUAAACAAGGUCAUUCAUUAUUUCUGGUUCUGAAUGGUCAACCAUGCUUCUAUAAUCCCCUCCCACAUCCCAUGGAUUGGUUUGCAGCCCUCAAUUUACAGGCUUCAGCAAAAAUGAUCAACACUUCCAUGAAAAUGAAGGUUAGAAUAUCACCACCACAGUCUCGUAUUGCAAGAGCAAUGUAUUAAAUAUAGCUUUAACACUGAGAAGUACAAAAAAUAUGUAUCACAAAAAUACCUAAAAUCAGCUAUGUCAUAAUUUUCUUCCCAAAUAUAAUCACACACAUGAUGAUUUCAUUUAAAAAUAAUUAACAUAUUACCAUUUUAAAAACUAUGCUUACAAAUGAUUUUCCAAAUAUUUGCUAAUAAAUUUUCCUUUAGUCAAAGUAUUAAUCACCUUAACAUGGAACAUGAAAUCUUAAGAAUGCAGAAUUUGUGAACUAAUUAAAUUAUAUUGUCAAAAUAAUUUGUAAAAAGUUUAAUAUAAACCUGAAAUAGCUUUUUGAAAAGCAUAUCACUUGUAAAAGUUAAGUAAAAUUCAAUGGGCUGUGUAAAGUUGGUAAUAGCAAUAUCUCAUAAUACUAUAAAUAGACCAAUAUGCCUGUAGCAUCUCAGGCCAAAUAAUUCCAUACUUGGUGUGACAGAAGUAAGUGGAGCUGCUCUGUAAUAAUUUAUGAAUGUGACCUGGUUAUUGGGAUGGUUUACUGUAUGAAAACGUUGGUUUAGUUAAAUAGGAGGGUUGUAAGAAACAACCAGAAAGCCAAAACAAUGACUCAAGACACCUCUCAGCAAACAGUUAAGUUGGUGAUGGGAUAAUGGAAGAAACGUUGGCUUUGAGGAUCUGGUUUGAGUUCCUAUGGAACUUUCUGAACUGGUUUUGAGCAGCUGGGUUGAGGCCUGGUUACUGUCAGGAACAAAGAAAGUCAGGCUGGGGAAGUGAUAGUUUGAGUGCUGUUUGGGGAAACCAGACUGACCCAGGCACCUGCUGGGAUGUCUGCAGUUGUUUGACUUGCUUAGGCCACAAUCGCAAGAAGAUGUGGCAAGAUGUGCGUACACUAUUUCUUGUUGUAAAAUACUUUUUCUCUAAAGGCUCUGUUCCUACUGUUAAAAUUAAACAAUAGUU